UAAGGAAUAUUGGUCAAUGGGCGGAAGCCUGAACCAGCCAUGCCGCGUGCAGGAAGACGGCCCUACGGGUUGUAAACUGCUUUUGUACCGGAAUAAACCUACUUACGUGUAAGUAGCUGAAUGUACGGUAAGAAUAAGGAUCGGCUAACUCCGUGCCAGCAGCCGCGGUAAUACGGAGGAUCCAAGCGUUAUCCGGAUUUAUUGGGUUUAAAGGGUGCGUAGGCGGCUUAUUAAGUCAGGGGUGAAAGACGGUAGCUCAACUAUCGCAGUGCCCUUGAUACUGAUGAGCUUGAAUAUACUUGAAGUAGGCGGAAUGUGACAAGUAGCGGUGAAAUGCAUAGAUAUGUCACAGAACACCGAUUGCGAAGGCAGCUUACUAAAGUAUGAUUGACGCUGAGGCACGAAAGCGUGGGGAUCAAACAGGAUUAGAUACCCCGGUAGUCC
rnacentral:rRNA from 1 species